UCUUAUAUAUAUAUAUAUAUAUAUGAAGAUACUACAGUAUUGUAUAUUAUAGGGAAUGAGAGAACUCCAUUUUAUGUCCUUUAAUACUCAUGCCAUACACAUGAGAAAGUGAUAGGAACUUUUUAGUAGUAGUAGACAAGCAAUCGAAUUCACACACAUUCUCAAUCUAUACCAACUUUCGAACAUAUCGGGGUUGUCCGUCCACCCCUAUUUUUUAGGACAUAAAUUGUCCUUGUGAGACAAAUAAUGCAAAGUUAUAGCAAUUAUGCUACUCACACCCCUCUUUUUGCUACAUACACUCCUCAAUUUUUUCAUAAACGAAAUAUCCAACAUGUCAUUGCUUAUUUGUCUCAUUCUAUAACCCUACUUUGUUUAUUCGAGACCAUCAUUAACCUGGUAACUCACACAUCACAACUCAUUAAUAACUCAAACAUCAUAACUCAUACUUACACCCAAUAAAUAAUCCAACAAGGUAUGUUUAUUGAUCUACAUAUUGUAGUUAAAGUAAUCCAACAAGGUAUGUUUAUUGAUCUACAUUUGAGUUUGUUUUUUAAUAUGAGAAUUUUAUGUGACCUCAGUUCUCGUAUGUUGUAAAUAAUUAAUUAUACGUGAACUGAAUUCACUUACAUAUAGUGAACUGAAUUCACGUACGUUAUUCAAUUUAAGAAAUCACAUGUACUACAUGAAUACAAUUCACGUACACUUACGCGAAUACAAUUCACGUUCACCUAACUGAAUACAAUCCACGUACACCUACGUGAAUUUAGUUCACGUAGAUUGCAUGAAUUCAGUUCACAUACGCAAACUCAACUCAUGUACGUUCCCAUGCAAUCUCAGUUCACGUAUGUUCCAACGCAAACUCAACUCAUGUACGUUCCUAUGCAAACUCAACUCAUGUAGGUCUUAUGAAAACUCAUUACACAUACGAUAUUGAAUUCAUGUACACAAACUCAUGUCACAUACGCAUAUUGAGUUCACGGUGUUGAAGUUGUUGAAAAUUGAGGAGGAAGGAGAAUGAAGUGUGAGAAAAAACAUAAAUACGAGUAUGAAUAUUAGAUAGAAGAUGAAAAUAUAAAGAGAAAUUGAGAUUUAAAGAAUGAUAUAAAUAAACAAAGAUAUUUUAAGUAUUUCGUUUUUAUGAAAAUUUGAAGGACGUGGGUAGCAAAAAGGGGGUGCGUAUGUAGUAAAAUUGAAGUUCUAGAAGCAUACCACAACACAUAAAAGUAAAUUUAAUUACAGAAGUUGAUACUUUUGAUCUGUAAAUCAUCACUCACCCA
rnacentral:lncRNA from 1 species